rnacentral:rRNA from 1 species
AUUGAACGCUGGCGGCAGGCCUAACACAUGCAAGUCGAGCGAGCGGCGGACGGGUGAGUAAUGUAUGGGGACUGCCCGAUAGAGGGGGAUAACUACUGGAAACGGUGGCUAAUACCGCAUACUAUCGGAUAACCCAUAUGGGAGUAGCUAGUGGGUGGGGUAAAGGCGCACCUAGGCGACGAGCUCUAGCUGGUCUGAGAGGAUGAUCAUCCACACUUGGACUGAGUCACGGCCCAGACUCCUUCGGAGGCAGCAGUGGGGAAUAUUGCACAAUGGGCGCUAGCCUGAUGCAUCCAUGCCGCGUGUAUGAAGAGGGCCUUAGGGUUGUAAAGUACUUUCAGCGGGGAGGCGUUACCCGCAGAAGAAGCACCGGCUAACUCCGUGCCAGCAGCCGCGGUAAUUC